rnacentral:lncRNA from 13 species
CACCGACCCCGAGGGCACCACUCACCCGGCACGACCCUCCCCCUAUGUCUACCAAGUGCCAGCCUUUGUCUGCUCCUACCCACCUGCACUGCCAGAAAUCUUCCAGCCCGCCGCUGGCUCAGAGUUUCAGAGGCAGUUGAGCACUCUGACAGAGGAGGAAUACACCACUGCCACAACUCCCAACCACACUGCUGGAAUGAUCAGUAUUGCCAGUCAGAGGCCAGACCCAUCAACAUCCACACUUGACCCAUUGGCUAAGCCCUUUGGGACAACAGUCCAUGAGAGAAGGCAGGAGGCAUUCUCAAUGUUUGGAGUGGAGGUUGUCCAGGCAAUGGCAGGCCCUUCAUGUCAGUCUCCCAUCCAAGUGGGACAGACAUUGCGGUAUGGGAUGGGAGCAACUGUUGAGCCAAAAGAAAUUUCACACAGCCAGACCACUUGUGAGGUUGUGGCCCUGGCAAAGUGUCAAGUUGUAGAGGACUUGGAGAUGAUAUGUAAGGAAGAAAUGGAAGAGGAAGUCAUAGAGUCAGGCUCCGGAAUAGAGCAUUCUGGGAAGGAAGAGGUUACUGUGGCUAGGCAGGUGGAAGUGUAUGAGAUGCGACCUGAAAACAUGGUUUCUCUGCCGCCAUCAUGCCUAAGAGUUGCCAGUGCACCAGGGUUUCUAUCCACUCAAGCAUCCUGUUCAGAGGCUCAGUUAGAAUACUGUCCAGUGGACAAUAGCAUAUUAUGGGAGACGCCAAGAAAGGAUGGGUCAGAGCUAUCUAUCGAAAGAUCAAAAGAGAAGAGAGACAUGGUGAGAGGAAUGGCAGAAAUGGUCUCAUCUUGUCCAAGCACUGUCAGCAUUCCGGGAUUUCUGUCUCCACAUCUGUCCAAGGAAGCCAAGUUACAGAGGGAACCUAGCAUGACAGAUCUAAUGCCAUCCUGCCCAAGAUUGUCUGGCACACUCGGAUUCCCUUCUCUUGAAAGUCAAGUAAAGGAGUGUACAAUCAACAUUGAGGCCAUUUGGGAGAAGCCCCCGAAGGGGAAAAAAAGGAUGGCCUUUAUGUCCACUCCACAUUUGGACAGAUUAAACGAAGACAAGGAGCUAAUGAAACACAUGGUGGCUCUGGUACCAUCAUGCCCUACCACAACAAGUAUUCCUGGCUUCCCCUCUGCACCACAUCCCAAAGCUGAGGUAUAUCCAAGUAUGUUGAGUCAUGUGCCAGCGUGCCCUAAAGUGUCCAGUCCCCCGGGUUUUGCAUCCACUGGGGGGGCUACAACAUUAGAGUGGCUUGUUGACCCAAAGUCUAUGUUUGAGCACUUGCAGAAAAAUAAGGAGAAUAAAGAAGAAAACGUUUCUCCAAAAUACAGAUCGAAAGAACACAGUGAGAAAGUUAAAGCAAUGGUUGCUAUGGUGUCAUGUGGCUCAGAUGUAUCCACGAUUCCUGGCUUCCCCUCUGCUCCACAUCCAAAAACUGAGGUGGGGCCAAGUAGUGUGAAUCUUGUUCCCUCCUGCACUAAAGUUUCUAGUCUCCCUGGUUUUCCAUCCAUUGAGAAGGAUAGGUGGGCAGGGUGGGUUGUUGACCAGAGGCCAUUGUUGAAGAGACCACUAAAGGAGAGGAAAGUCAUUAUUGACAGCUCAAAAGCAGACCAAGAGGAAAUGAAAACCAAUGUUCCUUUGAGGAUAUCAUGUCCACACUCUGCAAGGAUCCCUGGCUUCCCAUCUGUACCACAACCCAAUAUGAUGAUUAUUUUGCCUGCUUGCUCUAAAGCUUCCAGUGAGGAGGCUACAACAUUAAAGUGGCUUGUUGACCCCAAGCCUGUGUUUGAGCACUUUCUGAAGAAGAAGGAGGAAGAUCUUUUUCCAAAAGACAAGUCAAAAGAAGACAUUGACAAAAUGAAACCAUUAGUUGCUUUAGUGCCAUGUUGCCCAGAAGCACCCAUAAUUCCUGGCUUCCCCUCUUGCUUCCCCUCUGUACCACAACCCAAAGAUGUCUACUUGGGGCAAACUGUAGUCAACCUUCUUCCAUCUUGCCCAAAAGUCACCAGUAUUGCAGGUUUCCCAUCCCAUCAGCAAACUGACAGAAAAUAUUGGCGCACAGAUCCACCCAGAGAUCAUCGGCCAUUAUGGGAGAAGCAACUGAAAAAGAAGCAGAAGUUAUUGAUGGGAAUAAUAGAAAAAGACAAACAAGGAAUGAAAGGAAUGGUGGCUCUGGUACCGUCAUGUCCUACUGCAGCAAGUAUUCCUGGCUUCCCCUCUGCACCACAUCCCAAAGCUGAGGUAGAGCUAAGUAUGUUGAGUCUUGUGCUCGCUUGCCCCAAAAUGUCCAGUCUCUCUGGUUUUGCAUCCACUGAUGGGGCUACAGCAUUAGAGUGGCUUGUUGACCCAAAAUCUAUGUUUGAGCACUUGGAGAAGAAGAAGGAAGAGGAAGAAAACAUUCUCCCAAAAGUCAUCGGCAAAACGAAAGCAAUGGUUGCUUUGGUGCCAUGUUGCCCAGAAGAAGGCAGGAUUCCUAGCUUCCGCUCUGCACCACAACCCAACAGCUCCAGUCUCCCAGGUUUCCCAUCGACAGCCAACGUCCAGACAGGAGAUUGCCACGUUGAACAGAAGCCUUUGUUUGAGAAGAAGCUGAAAGAUAAGACCGUAAUAAUCAAAGAUGGGUCACCAGAAGACAGAGAAAAUAGGGUGUCACUGGCGCCAUCUUGCCCAUGUGAGAGUCUCACUUCUGGGUUCCCGUUCUUUACACAACUAAAAGCAAUAGAAGAACAAACCGUGUUUUCCCUAAUGCGAGCUUGUCCAAGUGAAUCUAGAGAACCAGGAUUACCUUCUAGACAGCCAUCUGAAUUAGCUCGAACCCAGGGAGAAGAAUCUGUGAGUUCUAUGCAGGAUAAUAGGUCAGAGGAUAUGGUGCUUUCCAAGCCUGACCUAAGCAGUGCAGUUGGAGAUGAAAACCUAAAAUCGUUGCUUGCACUGGUACCAUCUUGCCUCGAGGCAGCAAGCAUUCCUGGUUUCCUGUCUGCCCCUCCUCACAGUCUAGAGUCUGUAGAGGCAAAUGGUAAGGCGUGUGUGGUUAGGCAUGCAAUAUCUUUUUUUCCCAGUGUCUCGCAUUGCAAGUGGAAAGCAACAUACUUUGUUUUUUGGUUUCUAAGAGACAAGUAUGCAGACAGAGAAGAAAGAGGUUACUGGAGAACCAGCAGAGUGUGUUCUAGAUAA